rnacentral:tRNA from 1 species
GAGGGUAUAGCUCAGUGGUAAAGUGUGUGCUUAGUGUGCUUGAGGUCCUGGGUUCAAUCCCCAGUCCCUCCA